rnacentral:tRNA from 1 species
AGUUCUAUACUUUAAUAACAAAAAGACCUGAUUUGCAAUCAACCAUUGAGCUAUGCUCUAGAACUA